rnacentral:rRNA from 1 species
AAGCGGAGGAAAAGAAACCAACAGGGAUUGCCUUAGUAGCGGCGAGUGAAGCGGCAAAAGCUCAAAUUUGAAAUCUGGCACUUUCAGUGUCCGAGUUGUAAUUUGAAGAAGGUAUCUUUGGGUCUGGCUCUUGUCUAUGUUUCUUGGAACAGAACGUCACAGAGGGUGAGAAUCCCGUGCGAUGAGAUGUCCCAGACCUAUGUAAAGUUCCUUCGAAGAGUCGAGUUGUUUGGGAAUGCAGCUCUAAGUGGGUGGUAAAUUCCAUCUAAAGCUAAAUAUUGGCGAGAGACCGAUAGCGAACAAGUACAGUGAUGGAAAGAUGAAAAGAACUUUGAAAAGAGAGUGAAAAAGUACGUGAAAUUGUUGAAAGGGAAGGGCUUGAGAUCAGACUUGGUAUUUUGUAUGUUACUCUCUCGGGGGUGGCCUCUACAGUUUACCGGGCCAGCAUCAGUUUGGGCGGUAGGACAAUUGCAAAGAAAUGUGGCACUGCCUCGGUAGUGUGUUAUAGUCUUUGUCGAUACUGCCAGCCUAGACUGAGGACUGCGGCUUCGGCC